ACUGGUUCUGCAUUACCUGUGCCUGAAUUUAUCAAUGAGCUGGCCUGGUCCAAGGUCUUGGGGGAGGAGUCAGUGGGUAGAAGCAUUAUGUAGUAGAACAUUCCUUACAGGGAUGUGGUUAUUAAUGAAACUGCAGAGGAGCAGAGAUGUGAAACCUGUACUGUUUUAUCACAAGAAUUUCACUUACGUUAAUGAGAGCUUGGAUAUAAAAUGUCAAAGUUAAACAUGGUGUAGGAUUUGUUUCUCUCAGUGAGAGACACGUCAGCUAAAACUUUACAGAGUGACUUAAAAUAAUUAUUUCUUGGGGCUGGAGAGAGAUAGCUUAGCAGUUAACAGCACUGACUGCUCUUCCAGCGGAAGGACCCAGGUUCAAUUCCCAGCACACACAUGGCAGCUCACAACUGUCUGUAACUCCAAGAACUGACACUCUCACACAAACAUACAUGCAGACAAAACACCAAUGCACAUAAAAUAAAUACUUUUUAGAAUUAAAAAAAAAUGUUUCUGUACUACAGUUUUUAUUUGCUUUUGAAAUUUACACUGGUUAUUUGAGGUGAGGCGAUUUGUUCUGUAGGUAACAGGACUUUGGUAAAGCUUAUUAAUUAGAAGCCAAGUAUGGUUGUACAUGUUUGUAGUCUCAGUUCUAAGAGGUAAGAGGGUAGCAAGUUCAAAGCCAGCCUUAAAUGUGUAAGAAAGUUUUGCUAAUUUAAAAAUAGCUUAUAUUAAACACCUCAUAUUAAUAGCAGUAAUUACCCUAAAUUUGUGUGGUAGGCAGAGGGCAGACACAACAUAGAUAGUGGUCAAGGGUUCUCAUAACAGCUUUGAAUUUUCUUAUGUAACAUGUUUGUAAUACUUAUUCUGACACUCCUACUUUGAUUGUCUAAUAGGGUUUUUAUUACCAUAUACUAUUUGGAAUAAUACUUUAAUAUUUGUAGCACAAUUUCCUGAUUACAUUUGCUUAAAUUAUUUAAUUACUAUCAUACGUAGUUUUGGUGGAUUUGAUCCAAACUAUUGGAAUUAAUAAAAAGAUGUAUGAUUUUAUAUUUGUGACAGGUAAAGAUUUACCAAGAUAGGAGAUUGCUCUUGCAUCCUAUAAACUAGAUACAUUAUUUUGCAUGAUUGGGUUACUUAUAAAAGCAUAAAGUAGUUUCCAUGCUAGAUUGAUCCUUUUAGAGACGAUGAUCUGUUUUGAGUUUUACCUUCAGGCUGUAUGAACCGGGCCGACGGCAGUGCUGAAAGGCAUUUGUCUUGGCCUCUCUCUUGCUUGCAGGUCUUUGUGUUGGUUACAGUAAAUGCUUUCUAGGGGAGCAAGGAGCACUCACUCCCUGAACGGAGGUCUAGCAGCAUCUUUCUGUCUUAAGACUAAAAAUAGUAGAGCCAGGGCCUUUCUUACUAUGACUCAAC
rnacentral:lncRNA from 1 species